UCCCGUCCUCACAGCACUUGCGCAGGGCCUUGUCCUUGUACUCGGCCGCUGCAGGCACCAAGGGACCCAGCUGGUACCCAGCCCCAGAGCCCAUCACCAGGGCCGUGGGGCGCGGUGGUGUCCUUUGGGAUGUGGGGUGCUGUGGGGUCACCAGGGACAUGGGACACAUUGGUGUCCUUUGGGAUGUGGGAUGCUGUGGGGUCACCAGGGACAUGGGACACAUUGGUGUCCUUUGGGAUGUGGGAUGCUGUGGGGUCACCAGGGCCAUGGGACACAGGGGUGUCCUUUGGGAUGUGGGAUGUUGUGGGGUCACCAGGGACAUGGGACACAGGGGUGUCCUUUGGGAUGUGGGAUGCUGUGGGGUCACCAAGGCCAUGGGGUGCAAAGGUGUCCUUUGGGAUGUGGGAUGCUGUGGGGUCAUCAGGGCCAUGGGACACGAUGGUGUCCUUUGGGAUAUGGGAAGCUGGUGUUCCAUGGGGCAUGGGAUGUUGUGUUAUUUCCAGGGACAUUGUGAUGUCCUUCAAGGACAUGGGACACUGGUACUGGGAUAGGUGCCAUGGGAUGGACAUGGGACACUGGUACUGGGAUAGGUGCCAUGGGAUAGCCAUGGAACACUGGUAUUGACUGGGACAUGGGCCCUGGUGCCCCCUGGGGCCAUGGGAUGCUCCCAGUGCCACCUACCCUUGGUGCCCUUGUACUCAAUGAGCUGCAUGGAGCGGCGCUUGCGUUGUGCAGGUUGGGGACACUU